rnacentral:lncRNA from 1 species
GUUUAAGACAACUUUUAUCAAAAGUACCAACAAGUUUAGAUCAUACUUUAAUUUAGGAACUUUAUUAUAAAACUGUAACACCCAAAUUGUACAGCUAAUUAUGCUAUGUUUCUCGAAUAAUUCAAACUUUAAAAAUUUACAAUCGGGUGACCGAUAUAAUGAUAUUUCAUGUCAACAUGCGAUUGCUGACUUCCAGGUUGGUGAUACUCUCGACGACGAAAGGUUAACCUGCAAUAGAAUCGACUCAAUGGUUGAGUAACUCUCCAUAACGACCAGCACAUGUUUUGUAUACCAGACGCCUUUUUAUCUGAUACAGACUCUGCAAUGGCACUCGAUGCUAAAUAUUUGAAAGGCAAAAUAAAAUCCGAUGUUGAAAAGGAUUGAAACUCAAAUAUUCAAAAAUCGUGCAAAUUUAGAGAAAACAACCGUAUCAGCGAUAGUUAUGUCCGUACUACUUUGUUGCUAUAUUGAAUACUAAUAUUAUAAUGGUGCAUGUACAGUCCUUGAAUGGUGUAAUCUUCCCACUAACACCAUACACCAUUACACCAUACACCAUACACCAUUACACCAUACACCUUGUACCAUUACACCAUACACGUUACACCUUUGCAUCAUACACCUUACAUAUUACACCAUACACCAUUCCCCAUUCUAUGUACACGAUCCGAAAUUACCCAUAAUGCAAUAAAAAUUCACAUAUUAAGAUUAUUAUUAUUGUUUAUGUUUACAAUUCGAAAAAAAUUAAAUAAAAAGAACUUCGUUUUCAACCAAUGAAAUGUCGUACACCAUCAUUCACACCAUUCCCGAUCGCACGUUACACAAUCACACCAUUCCUCAAACACCAUUACACCAUUCCCCUUACACCAUAUACCAUAUGCUAUACACCAUUACACCAUACACGUUUUUUGGGAAGUUUACACCAUCCAAGGGCUGUAGUAAGCGCAAAUCUUAGAAGAGCUGAUACCCCAGAAGUAGUGCACCUACUACAGAUUAUUAUAAAGAGAGAUUAAUUUGGAAUUUUCAUGUUAUUUAGCUCUUCAACUCUUUCGAUUUUUAUACAUUCCUGGCUAUUAAAUAUUCGACUUUCAGUGUUCCUGAUGAAAAUCAACCCAGAGGUCGCUUCAAACGCAUUUAAUUUAUAAUGUGUUAUUUUCAGUUAUUUAGGGAACUGGUUGAUUGCAAGUUCACUUAAGGUUUAGAGGUGACACUUACAAGUGUUCAGUUUCGUCUAUGCAGUUUUCUUUUACAUUUAUCUAUAAAAAAAUUCUAAAUGUAUGACCAUCAUACUUACGUCAAACAAAUCUAUUUUUGUAUUAUCAUUCGGUACUGAGGCAAACAUUUUUUUUUUUUUAAAGCUCUGCACUUUUGUUCUUUUUUCAGUACUAUACUCAUUGUUCUUAUGAAACACAAAACUGUUUAAUCAAAAUUAAAAGUCAAC